rnacentral:rRNA from 1 species
UACGUAGGGACCAAGCGUUGUUCGGAUUUACUGGGCGUAAAGGGCGCGUAGGCGGCUUGGCAAGUGGAAGGUGAAAUCCCUCGGCUUAACCGAGGAACUGCCCUCCAAACUGCUUCGCUUGAGACCGGGAGAGGUGAGUGGAAUUCCCAGUGUAGCGGUGAAAUGCGUAGAUAUUGGGAGGAACACCAGUGGCGAAGGCGGCUCACUGGACCGGUACUGACGCUGAUGCGCGAAAGCGUGGGGAGCAAACGGG